CUUGGCAGGCCCCGGCUAAAUUUCUUCAGAAAUUUUGUUUUUCUAGUUUUUUUUAAUAUAUUAUUGAUAAAUGACUUCAUGUGCUGUGUCACCAGUCAUUGUCAAACAUUAAACUACAUAUUUUUCUUACUUUUUCCCAGAAAAAAAUAUUUAUUACAGUAUGUCAACUAUUGACAGCAAAGAGGGAAAUAAUUCUAAUAGAGUAAAUUAUUUUAUUUCAUUACAUAAGCUGCAUUAAUAUACUAUUUCAGAUUGAGAUAGAUUAAUCUUUAAUAUUUAUCUAAUAUUUCAGCUUCAUAAUUCUCUAAACAUCAUUUACGCUCUCUCAGUACCAAAAAUCACAGCCACUACACUCCUUAUUUAGUUGUACCGUUCUAAUCUUACACUCCAAACAGAAUGCUGGACCAAUCGUAAUUCUCUGUCUCCUGAAGCAACUCUCUGCUGACACAAUUCAUUUAUUUUCUAUGCAGUGCAUCUGGAAAGUAUUCACAGCAAUUACAUAUCUUAUGCUACAGUCUUAUUCUAAAUUGUAUUUAAUUCAUCUCUUUCCUCGAAAUUUUACACACAUAUCCCACUAUGACGAUGUGGAAAAACGUCAGCCGGAAAAGGCGCAGCGCUACUGUUUUACGGCGGCAGCUGUUUUGUGCUUGCUUUCGUUCCACCAUAGACCCCGGAACAAUUCCUGCACCGUAACGGUUGCUAUCCGGGCGUAUUAGUUGAGCACGCAUCCUGGCUGUCUGAGGUUUCCCUAGUCAACAGAAAAAUGCAGAACCCUCCAAAUCAAGAACUCAUCCACCCAUCCUGCCAUGACUGAAGCUGUGACUAGUGGCCCAAGUGGACCUUCAGGUGAUAAGCAGAUGGUGGUGGUUAAAGAAGAAGCUCCUGAAGACCCCACACCUUGUCCUGAUCUGCCUGACCCAAAGCUCCUCUACAGUCAUGGAAAAAUGUUUUGAGAAUGAUUCAAAUGUUAAUAUUUACAAAGUGUACUGCGUCAGUUUUUAUAACGGCAAUUUGCAUUUACUCUAGAAUGUUAUAAAGAGUGAUCAGCGUAACAGCAAUUAAUUGCAAAGUCAAUAUUUGCCUAGAAAAUGAACUUUAU